rnacentral:tRNA from 1 species
GCCGAAGUGGUGGAACUGGUAGACACGCUGUCUUGAGGGGGCAGUGGGAGAGAUCCUGUGGGGGUUCGAGUCCCCCCUUCGGCA